rnacentral:rRNA from 1 species
GACGAACGCUGGCGGCGUGCUUAACACAUGCAAGUCGAACGGAAAGGCUCCAGCUUGCUGGAGUACUCGAGUGGCGAACGGGUGAGUAACACGUGGGUAAUCUGCCCUGCACUCUGGGAUAAGCCUGGGAAACUGGGUCUAAUACUGGAUAUGACCUUUCUCCUUAUGGGGUUUGGUGGAAAGUUUUUCGGUGUAGGAUGAGCCCGCGGCCUAUCAGCUUGUUGGUGGGGUGAUGGCCUACCAAGGCGACGACGGGUAGCCGGCCUGGGAGGGUGAUCGGGCACAUGGGGACUGAGAUACGGCCCAGACUCCUACGGGAGGCAGCAGUGGGGAAUAUUGCACAAUGGGCGGAAGCCUGAUGCAGCGACGCCGCGUGAGGGAUGACGGCCUUCGGGUUGUAAACCUCUUUCAGCAGGGACGAAGCGUAAGUGACGGUACCUGCAGAAGAAGCACCGGCUAACUAUGUG